AAAUACAUAACAUCAAUCGGUCAAAGGUGAAUCUAUGAGUGAGAGAUGCAUACCUGACAGCAGAGAGACACACAGCAGCAUGUGAGAGUCUAGUGAAGAGCUCCAGAGACUCACACAUACAGUGUGGGGUUUUCUGGUUACAGAAUCCCAAAUGACUGUAAUGCCACUUUGCUUAUACUUUAUCCAGACCAGAACAAAGAAAUCUUCAAAUCUUUAACACUGUUGCCGAGGGUUGUUUUCCAUGUCCGUGGGUUGAAGCAACUCCAGUAACGUGAUAUUUAGCCCCUGGAAUGUCAUUUUACAGAGCAACCCACCAAAAAACACGUAUUUUACCCCCCGGAAUUCAAUUUGUGUUUUGGGCAAGUUUUGAGUAGCAAUUGGGCGGGUUUUGUUGUGAAAACCUGGCAACCCUGCUGGAGGCUCAAACUUGCUUUUAGACACUUUUGGUUUCAUUUUUACUCAAAUCUCGCUUAACAUGCUGUGCUUUACAAGUUUUGACGCCUGAACAUAAGACUCAUGCAGAAGUUUCACAAUGUUCAGUUGGUUCUGGAAUCUUUUGCUGUUGUUUUGCUGUGUUAUUUAUAGCGAAACCACCUCUAUACUUGUACCAGGAGAAAAAGGAGGCAACGCCACACUGCCUUGUGAAUUAAAGGAUAGAGACAUUUUUAAUGUUAUUUUAAACCGUCAAUCAAAAAACAUCCCUGUUUGUAAGACUGAAAACUGUAGUGGGCGAGCAUUUAAAAUAGGAGCCUGUGACAUUGUCAUCAAGGAUCUGAUCUUCAGUGAUGCUGGGAAGUACAUUAUGAGAGUCUUUUAUGGCAAAGAUCAGACAGAGCUGGAGCAACGAAGGGAGUACAAUCUUCAUAUUCAUGAUGAGACUUUAGUGAAAAUCGGUGAGGAGCUGAAGUUGGAUGUUCUGUUGUCUAAUGCUGAUAAAGUGGAGACAAACUCCAGUGGAGAGUGGAGGGAGGUGUGGAGCAGAACUGAUGGGGUCCUGGAUCAUCAUCUGAAUGACAGUGAUGGAUACCUGACCAUUAAAGGUUUUACAGCCAGUGACACUGGAACAUACAGAGUUCUGGACUCUAAAGGAGAAACCUUGAUCACAGUCACAGUCAGAGAAUAUAGUACAGAAUAUAAGAAAAAGCGGGAUGGUGACAAUGAUACAAAUUAUAGUAAGUAAACAGGAGGCAUUAAGAGCUUUAUAAAAUCUUUAAACAGUUUAAAAAAAAAAAAAAAAACAUUUUAAAAAUUGUUUUCUCUUCUCCCUCGCCCCUUCCAGCUGUACUGUAUGUCGUGCUGUCUGUGGUGUUGGGGGUCCCGGUUCUGGUUCUGAUUACAUUUGUUUUCGUCAAGAAACUGCACAGGAACCCAGAACAUGAUCCCGACCAGAGGGUCCCACUGCAGGACAGGAUCCCAGAACAUGAUCCCCACCAGAGGGCCCCACUGCAGGACAGGAACCCAGAACAUGAUCCCGACCAGAGGGUCCCGUAGCAAUAAAUUAUCCUGGAAGCCCA
ensembl:lncRNA